ACCUUUACUAACUAUCCUUUGCAUUACAUACAGGAAACAAAGCAACAUAAACAAAUACACAAAGAGGUGGUUUGUUGCAGUCUGCACAUAAAGUGCGUGCAUAUUACUUAACUGUACAAAGAUCCCACUUGGCCACCACGCUCACCAAGAGAUGCAACAAAAGCAAAACAUUCCCAUCACAUGCACCAGCUGUGGCAUGUUCCGCUUUUUCACACAAAAACUAGACAACUACAACUGCUCCAAAUGCAAACAGAUGACUCUGAUGGAGCAGAGGAUCCAACAGCUCGAGCACCGUAUUAAGACCCUUAAGGACAUUCAGGCACUCGAGCUCUUCUUGGACACUGCACAACACGCUGCUGUAGAUCUGCAGCCUGCAUCACACCAACACCACCAAGACCAUGAUCAGGAACCUUAUGGGGAGAUCAACUCAAAGGUAGACAACCCUCAGGCUUGGAAGGAGGUCACCCAUAGAAGGAGACGCAGGACCAGGCAGCCUCCGCAGAACUCCUCUGCUCAGCUGCAUUUACACAACAGAUUUGAAAUUCUUACAUCAUUAACAUACAAUCAGGAAACACAUCUUGUGGAGGACCACAGUUUCUUAGAUACCACUAAGUGGACCACCCUGGAUCAAUGCGCAGGGGAUAGCCCUGACGGGGACAGUGCAUCACCACAGUCACACUUAUGUAAUCAUGCAAAUGCUCCAUCCCCAAUCAUAGACCAGGAGCAACAGGAACAUCCUUGGGAGAGUAAUGGGCUCUCGGAUGUAUCUCAAUGGAUUGUCAUUGAUGAAUGCACUGGGGAUGUUGAGGAGGAGGACAACACUUUACACCAGCAUGAUUCACUUCAACAGGAACACUCUUCAGGGGACAUACACACUGUCUUGCACAAAAGGGACCCUGUCAAUCCUCAAAGGAAACAGGUCUUGGUAGUAGGUGACUCCCUCCUUAGAGGAACGGAAGCCAUCAUUUCCAGACCGGAUGGGAUGGCUCGAGAAACAUGCUGCCUCCCGGGGGCAAAAAUACACCAUAUCACUCAGAGGCUCAGCAGGCUCCUAAAGCCCCAUCACCCUCCCCACCUUAUGUUGAUUCAUGUAGGUACCAAUGACACCGCUAGGCAUACUUUUCAAAAGAUCACAAAUGAUUUUCGAGCUCUGGGAACAAAGCUAAAACUGUAUAAUGUACAUGUGAUCUUUUCAUCCCUCCUCCCCGUUGUAGGACACGGCUCUACAAGGGCCGGAAAAAUAGUACAGGUCAAUAACUGGCUCAGAAAAUGGUGUCAAGAGGAGCAUUUUGGCUUCCUUGACCAUGGUCUACUCUUCCAAGAGGAUGAACUACUGGCAAGUGAUGGGGUGCAUCUCACACAAGUAGGAAAACAUCUUUUUGCACACAGACUCACAAACCUCAUCAGGCGCACUUUAAACUAGAUCCACUGGGGGAGGGGAGCAACAGCCUGGCGAACACUAUAUUACCCACGACCACAGGGAACCGCCAAAAGGCUAAACGGAGGGCUGCACAAACACAGCAAGGACCAAGUACAGAGAGCACAAUAAUCCCAAAUAAACAGUUUAAGGGGAGGUCACAGGGGCUUACAUGUCUUUACACUAAUGCUCAGAGCAUGGGAAAUAAGCAAGACGAACUCCAACUCCUAGCACAGCACCACACAUACGAUGUCAUAGGCAUCACUGAAACCUGGUGGGAUUACUCCCAUCACUGGAAUUUAACCAUUGAGGGCUAUAACCUCUUUCACAGAAAUAGAACAAAGGGGAGAGGAGGGGGAGUAGCUUUAUAUGUCAAAAACAGUUACGUUGCAGAAGAAAUGCAAGACUGUAAUCCAGGAAACCAGCUUGAAAGCAUCUGGAUAAGAAUCAAGGGAACCAGGACUCAAAAAGAUCUUGUCGUGGGUGUCUACUACAGACCUCCGAGUCAGGAUGAAGGACUUGAUGAAGCCUUCUGUCAACAGCUGACCAAACAGGCACAAAGAAGAGAUAUAGUAGUCAUGGGCGAUUUCAAUUAUCCUGAUAUCUGCUGGAAAACAAACUCAGCCAAGAGUACAAAGUCCAACAAAUUCCUCACUUGCCUUGCAGAUAAUUUUAUGGUCCAGAAGGUAGAAGAGGUAACAAGGGGAUCAGCAACUCUUGAUCUAAUCUUAACAAAUGUGGAAGACCUGAUCAAUACAGUUGAAGUGGUUGGAUCCUUAGGGGCAAGUGACCAUGUGAUCCUGCAGUUUGCAAUACAAAGGAAUGUUGAAACUAAGACAAGUCAAACACGCUUUCUGGACUUUAAGAGAGCUGACUUCCAAAAAAUGAAGGAAUUACUGAGCGGCAUUCCAUGGACGCCGAUAUUAAAAAACAAGGGAGUUAAGGAUGGAUGGGAGUUUUUCAAAAGUGAAAUACUCAAGGCGCAAAUGCAAACAGUGCCAACAAAGAAGAAAAAUAAGACAAGUGCAAAGAAGCCAGAAUGGAUGUCCAAAGAACUUCUAACUGAGCUAAAGCUCAAAAGUGACAUGCACAAGAAGUGGAAAAGGGGAGAAAUCACCAAAGAAGAAUUCAAACGUAUAGCCAACACCUGUAGGGAAAAGGUUCGCAAGGCUAAAGCGCAAAAUGAGCUCAGGUGUUGGCUAUACGUUUGAAUUCUUCUUUGGUGAUUUCUCCCCUUUUCCACUUCUUGUGCAUGUCACUUUUGAGCUUUAGCUCAGUUAGAAGUUCUUUGGACAUCCAUUCUGGCUUCUUUGCACUUGUCUUAUUUUUCUUCUUUGUUGGCACUGUUUGCAUUUGCGCCUUGAGUAUUUCACUUUUGAAAAACUCCCAUCCAUCCUUAACUCCCUUGUUUUUUAAUAUCGGCGUCCAUGGAAUGCCGCUCAGUAAUUCCUUCAUUUUUUGGAAGUCAGCUCUCUUAAAGUCCAGAAAGUGUGUUUGACUUGUCUUAGUUUCAGCAUUCCUUUGUAUUGCAAACUGCAGGAGCACAUGGUCACUUGCCCCUAAGGAUCCAACCACUUCAACUGUAUUGAUCAGGUCUUCCACAUUUGUUAAGAUUAGAUCAAGAGUUGCUGAUCCCCUUGUUGCCUCUUCUACCUUCUGGACCAUAAAAUUAUCUGCAAGGCAAGUGAGGAAUUUGUUGGACUUUGUACUCUUGGCUGAGUUUGUUUUCCAGCAGAUAUCGGGAUAAUUGAAAUCGCCCAUGACUACUAUAUCUCUUCUUUGUGCCUGUUUGGUCAGCUGUUGACAGAAGGCUUCAUCAAGUCCUUCAUCCUGACUCGGAGGUCUGUAGUAGACACCCACGACAAGAUCUUUUUGAGUCCCGGUUCCCUUGAUUCUUAUCCAGAUGCUUUCAAGCUGGUUUCCCGGAUUACAGUCUUGCAUUUCUUCUGCAACGUAACUGUUUUUGACAUAUAAAGCUACUCCCCCUCCUCUCCCCUUUGUUCUAUUUCUGUGAAAGAGGUUAUAGCCCUCAAUGGUUAAAUUCCAGUGAUGGGAGUCAUCCCACCAGGUUUCAGUGAUGCCUAUGACAUCGUAUGUGUGGUGCUGUGCUAGGAGUUGGAGUUCGUCUUGCUUAUUUCCCAUGCUCUGAGCAUUAGUGUAAAGACAUGUAAGCCCCUGUGACCUCCCCUCAAAC